GACGUAGGGUCCAAGCGUUGUUCGGAUUUACUGGGCGUAAAGGGCGCGUAGGCGGCGCAACAAGUCACUUGUGAAAUCUCCGGGCUUAACCCGGAGCGGUCAAGUGAUACUGUCGUGCUAGAGUGCGGAAGGGGCUACUGGAAUUCUCGGUGUAGCGGUGAAAUGCGUAGAUAUCGAGAGGAACACCUGGCGGCGAAGGCGGGUAGCUGGGCCGACACUGACGCUGAUGCGCGAAAGCCAGGGGAGCGAACGGG
rnacentral:rRNA from 1 species